rnacentral:tRNA from 1 species
GGAGGGACCGUAGCUCAGUGGCAGAGCAUCUGCUUGGGGUUUGGAAAGUCCCAGGUUCAAUCCCCGGCACCUCUA